UUGCUGUGGUAGCCCACAUCCUAAAAUAGGAAUGAUACAGAGAAUAUUAGCAUGACCGCUGUGCAAGGAUGAUGUGCAGAUUUCUCAAGCAUGCCAUAGUUUU